rnacentral:lncRNA from 1 species
CCGGAACAACUGUGUGACUUCGAGGAGCAGUGCGCAGGGGGCGAGGACGAGCAGGCCUGUGGCACCACAGACUUUGAGUCCCCCGAGGCUGGGGGCUGGGAGGACGCCAGCGUGGGGCGGCUGCAGUGGCGGCGUGUCUCAGCCCAGGAGAGCCAGGGGUCCAGUGCAGCUGCUGCUGGGCACUUCCUGUCUCUGCAGCGGGCCUGGGGGCAGCUAGGCGCUGAGGCCCGGGUCCUCACACCCCUCCUUGGCCCUUCUGGCCCCAGCUGUGAACUCCACCUGGCUUAUUAUUUACAGAGCCAGCCCCGAGGUACCGCCACACUCCGCAAGUUCCCUGGCCAGCCCCUGGGUGCUCCCUGCACAGUGGGAGGGGUCUGGGG